CAUGGUUGAUCCUACCAGAACCAUAUGCUUGUCUCAAAGAUUAAGCCAUACAUGUCUAAGUACGCAGGGCCGGUCCAGUGAAACUGCAAAUGGCUCAUUAAAUCAGUUAUGGUUCUUUUGGUCACUCGCUCCUCUCCUAAUUGGAAAACUGUGGUAAUUCUAAAUCUAAUACAUGCCAAAGGGCGCUGACCCCCUUCGCGGGGAAGAUGCGUGCAUUUAUCAGAUCAAAACCAACCCAGUCAGCCCCUCUCCAGCCCCGGCCGGAGGGUCAGGUGCCACCAGCUUUUGUGACACUAGAUAACCUCAGGCCAAUGGCAUGCCCCCAGUGGCAGCGACGACCCAUUCAAAAAUCUGCCUUAUCAACUUUCGAUGGUAGUUGCUGUGCCUACCACGGUGACCAUGGGUGAUGGGGAAUCAGGGUUCCACUCUGAAGAGGGAGCCUGAGAAACAGCUACCACAUUCAAGGAAGGCAGCAGGUGCAAAAAUUACCCACUCCCGACCGGGGGAGGUACUGAUGAAAAAUAACAAUACAGGACUCUUUCGAGGCCCUGUAAUUGAAAUGAGUCUACUUUAAAUCCUUUAGGAGGAUCCAUUGGAGGGCAAGUCUGGUGCCAGCAGCCACAGUAAUUCCAGCUCCAAUAGCAUAUAUUAAAGUUGUUAAAAAGCCCGUAGUUAGAUCUUGGGAGUGGGCGGGCAGGCUAGCCAUGGACCGUCCCCGCCCCUUGCCUCUCAGCACCCCCUCGAUGUUCUUAGCUGAGUGUCCCGUGGCCCAAAGCGUUUACUUUGAAAAAGUUAGACUGUUCAAAGCAGGCCUGAGCCACCUAGAUAUCUCAGCUAGGAAUGAUGGAAUAGAACCGCCAUUCUUUUUUGUUGGUUUUCAGGACUGAGGCCAUGAUUAAGAGGGAUGGCUGGGGGCAUUCGUAUUGUGCCACUAGAGGUGAAAUUCUUGGACUGGUGCAGUUCGGACCAGAGCUAAAGCAUUUGCCAAGAAUGUUUUCAUUAACCAAGAACGAAAGUCGGAGUUUCGAAGACGAUCAGAUACCGUCGUUGUUCCGACCAUAAACGAUGCCAACUGGUGAUGCAGCGGUGUUAUUUCCAUGACCCGCUGGGCAGCUUCCCAGAAACCAAAGUCUUUGGGUUUUUGGGUUCCCAGGCGAGUAUGGUUGCAAAGCUGAAACUUAAAGGAAUUGGUGGAAGGGCACCACCAGGAGUGGAGCCUGCAGCUUAAUUUGACUCAAUAUGGGAAACCUCACCCGGCCCGGACAUGGACAGGAUUGACAGGUCUGUGAUGCCCUUAGAUGUCUGGGGCUGCACGCACGCUACAGUGACUGGCUCAGCGUGUGCCUACCCUACGUGGCAGACGCGGGUAACCUGUUGAACACCAUUGGUGAUGGUGAUCGGGGAUUGCAAUUAUUCCCCAUGAAUGACGAAUUCCCAGUAAGUGUGGGUCAUAGGCUUGCGUGAAGUCCCUACCCUUUGUACACACUGCCAGUCGCUACUACUGAUUGGAUGGUUUAGUGAGGCCCUUGGAUCGGCCCCGCCGGGUCAGCCCACUGCCCUGGUGGAGCACUGAGAAGACAGUCGAACUUGACUAUCUAGAGGAAGUAAAAGUCAUAACAAAAUUUCCAUAGUUGAACCUGUCGAGGGAUCAUUAACGGAGAAGAGCAAAGCUGCAGAGGCGCUACUGCGUCCUUCCUUCUUGGCCGACUGUGUUCCCCAUGCGGCACGUGUGCUGGCGGGGUUGUGCCAUUUGUUUGUUGCAUGGCCCCGCCUGCCCCGAGAGCCAGAGAACUCGGGAGGGAGAGAGAGGGUAGAGAGAGACACACGUGCGGGGAUGAA
rnacentral:rRNA from 1 species